CAGGCUUAACACAUGCAAGUCGAGGGGCAGCAUUUCAGUUUGCUUGCAAACUGGAGAUGGCGACCGGCGCACGGGCGAGUAACACGUAUCCAACCUGCCGAUAACUCGGGGAUAGCCUUUCGAAAGAAAGAUUAAUACCCGAUGGUAUAAUCAGACCGCAUGGUCUUGUUAUUAAAGAAUUUCGGUUAUCGAUGGGGAUGCGUUCCAUUAGGCAGUUGGUGAGGUAACGGCUCACCAAACCUUCGAUGGAUAGGGGUUCUGAGAGGAAGGUCCCCCACAUUGGAACUGAGACACGGUCCAAACUCCUACGGGAGGCAGCAGUGAGGAAUAUUGGUCAAUGGGCGCAGGCCUGAACCAGCCAAGUAGCGUGAAGGAUGACUGCCCUAUGGGUUGUAAACUUCUUUUAUAUGGGAAUAAAGUUUUCCACGUGUGGAAUUUUGUAUGUACCAUAUGAAUAAGGAUCGGCUAACUCCGUGCCAGCAGCCGCGGUAAUACGGAGGAUCCGAGCGUUAUCCGGAUUUAUUGGGUUUAAAGGGAGCGUAGGUGGACAGUUAAGUCAGUUGUGAAAGUUUACGGCUCAACCGUAAAAUUGCAGUUGAUACUGGCUGUCUUGAGUACAGUAGAGGUGGGCGGAAUUCGUGGUGUAGCGGUGAAAUGCUUAGAUAUCACGAAGAACUCCGAUUGCGAAGGCAGCUCACUGGACUGCAACUGACACUGAUGCUCGAAAGUGUGGGUAUCAAACAGGAUUAGAUACCCUGGUAGUACACACAGUAAACGAUGAAUACUCGCUGUUUGCGAUAUACAGUAAGCGGCCAAGCGAAAGCAUUAAGUAUUCCACCUGGGGAGUACGCGCGGCAACGGUGAAACUCAAAGGAAUUGCCGGGGGCCCGCACAAGCGGAGGAACAUGUGGUUUAAUUCGAUGAUACGCGAGGAACCUUACCCGGGCUUAAAUUGCGUUUGAAUAUAUUGGAAACAGUAUAGGCGUAAGGCAAAUGUGAAGGUGUUGCAUGGUUGUCGUCAGCUCGUGCCGUGAGGUGUCGGUUUAAGUGCCAUAACGAGCGCAACCCUUAUCUUUAGUUACUAACAGGUCAUGCUGAGGACUCUAGAGAGACUGCCGUCGUAAGAUGUGAGGAAGGUGGGGAUGACGUCAAAUCAGCACGGCCCUUACGUCCGGGGCUACACACGUGUUACAAUGGGGGGUACAGAAGGCAGCUACCUGGUGACAGGAUGCUAAUCCCAAAAGCCUCUCUCAGUUCGGAUCGAAGUCUGCAACCCGACUUCGUGAAGCUGGAUUCGUUAGUAAUCGCGCAUCAGCCAUGGCGCGGUGAAUACGUUCCCGGGCCUUGUACACACCGCCCGUCAAGCCAUGAAAGCCGGGGGUACCUGAAGUACGUAACCGCAAGGAGCGUCCUAGGGUAAAACUGGUAAUUGGGGCUA
rnacentral:rRNA from 1 species